CCCUUAGAUGUCCUGGGCCGCACGCGCGUUACACUGAUGCAUUCAACGAGCUUAUAACCUUGGCCGAGAGGCCUGGGCAAUCUUGUUAACGUGCAUCGUGAUAGGGAUAGAUUAUUGAAAUUAUUAAUCUUGAACGAGGAAUUCCUAGUAAACGCAGAUCAUCAAUCUGCAUUGAUUACGUCCCUGCCCUUUGUACACACCUCCCGUCGCACCUACCGAUUGGAUGGUCCGGUGAAGCCUCGGGAUUGUGGUUCUUGCCGCUUUAUUGUGGCGUGACCGCGAGAACUUGUCUAAACCUUAUCAUCUAGAGGAAGGUGAAGUCGUAACA
rnacentral:rRNA from 1 species